AGCAAUGGACGGGGCUGUGAAACAUGAGGCGAUUAAAAGCGUCCGAGGGCGCCGUGCCCAGUCGGCGGAGCUGCGUGGGGCCCUCGCGUUCGCUUUCCCCGCUGGACGGGUGCCAGAGGGUGAGGGCUGCAGCCCCCGCUUGUCUGUGCUAGCGCGGCCCUGAAAAACUAAACUCGCUUGGGCGGGUCUGCAGCAAUGAAUCAGCCCCUGGCCUCUCUGGCCAGCGCUGAGAAGAAUAGAACCAAGGAAGGACAGCAUGGUUGAGGGACUCUAGAAGCUACAGAGGUCUACAUAGUUGAAAUUCUGAUCACAACCGUUGGAAAAGACUCACCCUGCAGAAAAUGCCACUAACGGAAGGCAAAUUACACAGGGAGUUGACAUUCAAGGCCCCCAGAUCUCCUACCACUCAGGAAAGGGGCAACAUGCUGUGACAAAACUUCACUGAUCAACAAAAGGGUGCUGGCUGGACUGAUAACAAAGUGGCUGCUGCCUUGUGCGAGAGAUGCGUGUUCAGGAGGGACCUCAGGAGUCUUGCUACCAAGGCCAGUAAAGAGGAGAACAUGUGCACUCCACAGGGAGCUAGUACAGAAAUGGUGAAGGCAUCUGCAGAAGGGCCGACAAGGGAAGUUUUGACUGGGAAAAUUUGUGCUGGAGAGUGACUGUCGCACCUUGCGAGAGAGGACAGGCUGAAUUUUGCUCAUGCUUAUUUACCGUGCGAAAGCUGGUAACUGUGUUGUGAGGCCUGGUCAGGCUACUUUCAUCCUUGGAUGGCAGAUCUUCAAGAAACACCUCGGUGUUGAAUGAAGAAGUACUUGCGAUUCAUUAGGAGCCACUCUUCUCUCUGAAUCAGCACUGCUCCUGGGGAUCUCAUUUUAUAGAAGAGAUGCAUAUCUGAGACCCUGCCCAUGUGUGGCCAUUAAAGACCCUAACCUAU